CAGCAGCCGCGGGAAUACAGAGGGUGCGAGCGUUAAUCGGAUUUACUGGGCGUAAAGCGUGCGUAGGCGGCUUCUUAAGUCGGAUGUGAAAUCCCUGAGCUUAACUUAGGAAUUGCAUUCGAUACUGGGAAGCUAGAGUAUGGGAGAGGAUGGUAGAAUUCCAGGUGUAGCGGUGAAAUGCGUAGAGAUCUGGAGGAAUACCGAUGGCGAAGGCAGCCAUCUGGCCUAAUAAUGACGCUGAGGUACGAAAGCAUGGGGAGCAAACAGGAUUAGAUACCCCAGUAGUCCCUGUCUCUUAUAC
rnacentral:rRNA from 1 species